rnacentral:lncRNA from 1 species
UCAACAGGGCAGCCAAAUUCCUAUCUGGAAAUCGGGGCAGUCUGAAGGGCGAGGCCGCACUGUAAACAGAAUGAGUAAGGAGGUCAGAAGCUGGUGGGGACCAGAAUCAUGUCUAGAUGCAGCUUGAGGAAACGGAAACGGUACAGGACUGAGGCUGUGAAUUGAAUGAUAAGAAGGUACCGGACACUGGCUGCGGGACUUGGGGGUGGCCUUGGGGAGAGCAGCCUCCGAAAUCUCUUUCCUCUGGCUGCCUAGAACCCAAGAUGCUUUGGCAUCUUGCUCGUGGUUUUUGCUGUGUGUGUGUGGAGUCUCCCCAACUGCCUGCGGUUUCAAGCCCCUCGCUGGUCCCCGGGCACGGCAGAGUGAUUUGUCCAAUGCUCCAUGGUGGUCCGUGUGGAAACAGCUGGAUGUCCCCACCAAGCAGGGGCUGUGCUAGAGCUGGCAAGUGAGCUCAGAUCUCCAAGUCUCAGAUUCCUUAUCUGUAAAGCCAGGAUAAUGGCAACACUGCUUCAUCAUAGUGUUAUAUAAUAACAACACCAGGGUGAGGAUGAGCCUAGCAAAUAUUUGUAAAAUGCUUAGACCGGUGCUUGGCACAGAGCAAAUGCUGUAUAAGUGUUAGCUCAAUAAAAAACAAGGUGCCCAGCUGGUAAAUAAGGCCAGUAAUCCAAGUCAGCUAUAAUUGCAACAUUUGAGUCCUUAGGUCCUCCACACUAAGGUCAACAGCAGGCUACCAUGGGCUAAACUGACCACAGAACUUUCAGAAAUUAAUUUUCAUUUCGGCUAAGAAUAGAAAGGUAGGUUGUUGAUUUAUUUCAUUUGGGCACACAGGAAAUAUCACUGCAGUUACUCCCCUUACCUGUUCUUAGGAAACCACUCAGAAAUCCAGAAGUACCAGUUCAAAUACAGUACCUGUCCAAAUUUAAUAGGCCUCAUUAAAAAAAAAAAAAAAAAUCAGCCAGGCAUAGUGACGCAGGCCUAUAAUCCCAGCUGCUCAAGAGGCUGAGGCAGGGAGAUCGCAAGUUCCAGGUCAGCCUGGGAGACUUAGGGUGAUCUUGUCUAAAAAUAAAAAUAAAUAAAUAAAAAGGGCUGGGAAUGGAGCUCAGUGGCAGAGUGUGCUCUGAGUUCAGUCCCCAGCACCAGUAAUGCAAAACAAAAACAAAGUCCAGGGCUUGCUUGGGGUGUAGCUCAGUGGUAAAGGCCCUGCCCAGCAGGCAGGAGAUGUGAGAGAUCCUGGGUUCAAUCCCUAGUACUGCAAAAAUAAAGAAAGAAGAAAUAAAAAGUCAAUCUUAGAAAAUGACUAUGGGUGUCAAGAAGGAUCCGUCUGGAUUUAGGCAGACUCACUGGAGUCUAGCAAGGUUCAAGGUUAGAGCUGCCCUUGGAAGAAAAGGAGUCCUGAGGACACAAUGCAAAGAGGAGGGAAUACGUUUAUUUUUCUCCAAACUUAUUGAGGGUGGUGGUGUUUGGCAAAGGAGAAAGGAGGGGGAGAAUGUGAGUGUAUGGUUUGUUAAAUGAUAAAAAAAAAAUGGAGUCAAUGUAUUGUAAUAGCUCGGUAGCAAUUCAAAGAGAGACCAAAAAGUCUGUUUCCUCUAGCAAUCUAUCAACCAGAAAUCUUUAUUAACUGAACCUCUCACUAGACUACUAGAUGGCACUAAUAGAUGGUUGAAAAUGAUGACCCUGAUACACUGCAAAAUCCUAAACAGCUUUCUGAAACAGGAGGGAAAAAAGAUUCAAUGAAGCUUGCAAUGAUUUGUGACAAGCAGAUUUUAUUGUCUUCUAAUUUUUUUUAAAACAAGCGAUAUUUUUGUCAUCUUUAGUAUGUGAUGAUUUAUAUGCCACCUAAUAACUUUCUACCCACCAUAAUAUUAGAACAAAACAUUGCUCAAUUAUGGUUGGUAUCAGGGUUUAACAGAAAUUCCUUUUCUCUCAACCACCUGCAGCCCUCUUUGCUGGGUUCUCUCUCCCACCUGCUCUUCUUCUUGCCAGACCGGGAUUUCAUUUUUGGGUCCAAACUUGACCCAGAGGCCCUUCCCCCAGUGUUUCUUCUUCCCCCAGAGGGAGGGUGUACUUGGCCUUAGGAAGCACCUCCCCCACCUAGCUGAAGUUCUGCACCCCUGGGGAGGGCCUCAGGGUUGGGUGCUUCUCCCUGAGAGAAGGGACGUGGGCCCCGGGUAGAACUUUUAAAAUACACACGUCUCUGGAGAGGAAAGGCCCGCGGAGAGCCAGGCGGUGACAACGGAGUGGUGUGGAGCACGUGGCUUAAGUAGAACAGAAACAGAUCCGGCCUGGGCGCCCCAGGGACGUCCCAGACACAAAGCAGAGCUCAGGCUGCGCCUGGAGGGCGCGGAUCCUGCAGCCACCGCGGGGCUCUCCCGCCUGGGCUAAUCACCUUCCCCGUCCCGCUGCUCCCCGCCAUCCGAGAGCCCCAGAGUUGGGGCUCUGCAUGCCACAGAGGUCAGACACAAAUACAAUCCAUACAUGGACUCCAUCCUCGGGUCACAGGAUUCGGUCAACAGCAGGGACGGAGGAUGGUCCCAGCACCCACGUCCCAACCCCACCGGGACAGCUCUGUUUGUAAACACCGGUCACUUGGUAACACCCCCCGUGAGCGCGCCUUUGGGCCAUUAUUCAUCACCCACUAACCUUAAACCAACUUCAUCUUCGCAGGGCCUCCCCCACCCCCAGAAGAGAGGAAAUUCCACAGCUCUGAUGUGAUGAGAAACGUGAUCUGCGCGCCCAGCCCUCCCGCCGGCCUCCCUCCCCGCCGGCUCCCAACCUGGGCGUCCCGGCCCCUCUCCCGAGCCUCCCGCCCCCUCCCCACCCCCUGCCCCUCUCCCUCUGCGUUUUACACUGUGUAACCCGAUAGGCUGGAAAUGUCGCUUCUUUCAUCUUCCAUUUCCCACAUCCUGAAAGUUUGGAGAGGAGAAGCCCACCCAGAUAAAGGAAUUCCAAGUAUGUGAGCCCCCCUCCUCCUUGAACUCCAUUCACAAAGCAGAUUACUAAUGGCUCCGGGCUCCGGGGAGGCCCCCCGCCCCCCCUCCCCCUCCCCACCUCUCAAAGAGUUGACUCAUUCCACGUCCUCACUCCUCACCCGCACAAAAGCCCAAGUCCACAUGCUCAGCACCCCAAAUUAACUUUUCCCUGGGUUCUGCUCCUUAAGCUUUCAAACCUCACCCAGAUCGGGACUGAGCCAUGAGCAGAGUCUGACUCCCAUUCAUCUGGCUCCUCUUAAGCGCCUCCAAACAGAAAGUGCUCAGGGAAAAAUGUGUCAAUGGAUCAGGGAGAAAAGAUACAAAUGAAACAAGGGACGCUUCAAAGCUAAGAGCUGAGGUCUUUGGGAAAGAUCAGAGUGUUCUAACCCCGAGUCGCUGGCUUUCCAACAGAUAUUGUAUUAAACCCAGAAUAAGAGGUGCUUUAUUUGAGGUGAUGGGCAGAGAAUAGAGGCUCUGGUAAAGGUUUUUACUUUUAUUAUUAUUAUUAUUAUUAUUAUUAUUGUUAUUAUGUGUUGCUGGGGCUGGAACCCAGCCAGUGCUCUAACCACUGAGCAGCAUCCUCACUCCCUCUCCCCAUCCCACCCCCAUUGCUGGGAAUUGAACCAGGGAUACAUUACCAAUGAGCUACAUCCCCAGAACUUCUUAUUUUUUAAAUUUUGAGACAGAGUCUCACUAAAUUGCAGAGGCUGCCUCCUCAAUGUCUGGGAUCACAGACGUUUGUCACCACACCCGGCUUGGUAAUGUUUUUUAAAAAUUGUCUUAGUGAUUACAAAAUAUGCCAACAGGUCAGUUCUUGGGUUCUCUGUCCUGAGUUCUGUCACUGACCAGGGACACAGAGGGCAGAGACACCUUCUCUGACUUCACCCUCAGAGGUUAGGAAGUAACCGCUGAGCAUCCUUUUCCAUGAAGGAUGAUUAGCUAUCUUAUCCAUCCUUCCAGGAGGGUGAGAAAGCCAUUUUGAACCUGUGCCAGCUCUGGGAAAAUUCCCUGAGUUCACCAGCUCUGUGUGAAACAGGAUUUCCUGCAUCAAGAAGUGCUCCCUUGCCUGUUAUUAGGGAAUGUGUUUCAGAGAUGACUAAUCCAUAUUAUUUUUGCAAUUCAGGAUUGUUAGCUACUUUGCUCAAUGUACUAGUGUUUGACCAAAAACAGGAUAAAGUCUGGGUACAUGUUAGUGCACAGGGUCAUGCAUUUAAUGGGGCUCAUUAUUGCCCAAGAAGCCUCCUGGAAUUCCAAGAAGAAUUCAAGAGGCCAGAGUUGGAAAAUGCAGAAAAACAAUGAUAGGAUGACAGACUGUGGCAGAACAGCCACACCGUGCGGCUCCCCAGAGCAUCCAUAUGCUGCUGGGGAGAAAUCAGUGCUGCAGCUCAGCUCCGAACUUCCUAUGUUCAGGUAAAUGCAGCCUGCACCUGCCGUCCAGCAGGUCACAGGCUUCUCUGAAGUCAGUGAUACAACCAGUACCCGCAAAGGCAAGUACUAAUCUCUCAGGACCUCGGCCUCCUUAUCUCUAAAACACUGGGGUUAAUUUAACCCUUGCUAAUCAAAGCACAGCCCCCACAUACCAGCAGUAAGGCUUGACUUGUUAGUUUGGGAUUUAACUAGAAAUACCCCCUAACCUGCUGCUGUUUUGUACAUAGCAUUGAACUCAAGGAUACUUAACCACUGAACAACAUCCCUAGCCCUAUUUUUUAUUUUUUUUAUUUUUUAUUUUUUGGUAUGGGGAUUGAACUCAGAGGCGAUCAACCACUGAGCCACAUCCCCAGCCCUAUUUUGCAUUUUAUUUACAGACAGAUCUCUGAGUUGCUUUGGGCCUCAAUAAGUUGGUGAAACUGGUUUUGAACUUGCAAUCCACCUGUCUCAGCCACCCAAGUCACUAAGAUUACAGGCAUGUGCCACCACACCCAGCAGGCCCUGGGUUUGAUUUCUAGCACCACAAGAAAAUAAAGUAAAAUAAAAAUAGACAAAAUAGUAAUAAUAAACAAACAUGUUCCAACAUCAGCUUUGAUAAUUAGCAACUCAGCGCUAACUUUGUUUCACUUGGAAUAUUUAUCUGAGGUUCCUUUUACAGUUAGGGAAACUAAGAUAUUUAAAUACAUCUUACCAAGUAAAAACGUUAUGGAAAAGCUUCCAGAAGUCCUGGUUUAUACUCCCUUUCUUCUGAUCAUCUUAACAUAAAGAGAUUUUUGUGGCAGUAAUAUCAGCAGCUUGGGAGAGUGAGGCAAGAGGAUCACAAGUUCAAAGUCAGCCUCAGCAAUUUAGCAAGGCCAUAAGCAAUUUAGCAAGACCCUGUCUCAAAAAAAAAAAAAAAGGCUGGAGAUGUGGCCCAGUGGUUGAGUGCCUCUGGGUUCAAUCCCUGCACUCCCCUAAAAAAAGGCAGGAGUGUGGUGGUGCAUACCUGUAACCCCAGGUACUUGGAAGGUGGAGUCAGGAUUGCUUGUUGAAGGCCAGCCUUGGCCAUUUAGAGACAGCUUGUUAAAUAAGAAUAUCAAUGGUCAUUUUUAUUCAAACUCAAAACCAGGUCAGGAGGCUAAGCAGUAAGUAGAGCACCAGCAAGGCCUAUUUCGAAUGUAGAAGACCUUGAGGAUCACCUGCAGGAACCCCUCCAGCCAUCUCCUUUGUCCCAACAGUGGAAAACAGAGGUGGAGGUGAACUCAGAUGGAAUUAUAGGAAGGAAGGUGAGGGUGAGCCCAGAUGAGAGUUAUGGGAGGCCACAGCCUCCAAACUUUUUCCAGGCCUAUUUUACAUACAUUUUGCUCCGUGCUUUACGCAGAACCAUAUAUAAACUCCUAAACUGUCGCACCAAAAUGUUUUCUUUUUUCUGCUAUGAGGCCCCCUCCCACAUGGGGGUUUCUUACCUCUUCUCGAUUUAAUAAAUAUUACUCUGUUUAUUCUUCCCUCCCAUGACGGUCCAUGGAUUUUAUUCAAAAUUUGUGAGACAAGAACCUGGAGGAAACUGGGAAACAGGGAAUCUAUUCUCAUCUCAUAACUCUGGUUUCAUUGUCUCCAAACAGUAAAUAAAAAAAGAGAGGCUGGGGGUAUAGCUCUGUUUUAAAGCACCACUGGCUUCAAUCCCAGCCCCUUACCCCCUCAGAAAAAGACACUGGGAGCAGUGGUGCACGCCUAUGAAUGAUCCCAGCAACUCGGGAGGCUGAGACAGGAGGAUGUAAAUUCAAAGCCAGCCUCCUCCGCAAUUUAGCAGGGCCUUACCAAUUUAGCAAGACCCUGCCUCUAAAUAAAUAUCUGGGGAUGUGGCUCAGUUAAGUGCCCCUGGGUUCAAUUCCCAGUACCAAAAAAGAAAAAGAGGAGGUUUUGUGCCCAGUGUGUUGUAAGAGAGAAGGUAGGAAAACACCUCAGGGCAAUGAGGAUACGUCUUCUGGCCUUUGCUUUACUCUUUAACCUAGUAAUAAAUCUCUUAAAGCUCGCUUGGCAUUCCGAAUAUCUUGUAAACAGCAAGGUCUCCCCUCAUUGGUGACAGGAAUGCAAGUUUACUGAGUGGACCAGGAGCUG